GAGUUCAACAUGCUAAGGCAACAACUCAACGUGCUUCGAGAAACUAUGAGGUAUUAUAACCCGAGUCACUACCUUGUUGAAUCAAUCCAUCAAGCUGAAAUGAGUGAGAAAUCCAUUACAGAUGCACUGCAAUAUGUUAGACAAUUAAAGGAAAAUUUGUUACGAAACCAUACCUCUGAUGAUGCAGAUGAAGCCAUUG